rnacentral:rRNA from 1 species
GUGAACGCUGGCGGUAGGCCUAACACAUGCAAGUCGAACGGCAGCACAGUAAGAGCUUGCUCUUACGGGUGGCGAGUGGCGGACGGGUGAGGAAUACAUCGGAAUCUACUUUUUCGUGGGGGAUAACGUAGGGAAACUUACGCUAAUACCGCAUACGACCUACGGGUGAAAGCAGGGGAUCUUCUGACCUUGCGCGAUUGAAUGAGCCGAUGUCGGAUUAGCUAGUUGGCGGGGUAAAGGCCCACCAAGGCGACGAUCCGUAGCUGGUCUGAGAGGAUGAUCAGCCACACUGGAACUGAGACACGGUCCAGACUCCUACGGGAGGCAGCAGUGGGGAAUAUUGGACAAUGGGCGCAAGCCUGAUCCAGCCAUACCGCGUGGGUGAAGAAGGCCUUCGGGUUGUAAAGCCCUUUUGUUGGGAAAGAAAAGCAGCAGGUUAAUACCCCGCUGUUCUGACGGUACCCAAAGAAUAAGCACCGGCUAACUUCGUG